GCAUGUUCACAUUUACUCCCUCUGUGGAAAUUGCUGGCAAGCACCUUGCAGUGGCCUCUGCUGCUCAGAGGGUUCAUGAGGCUGGUAGUUCAGGUCCCUUCCAGGAUUCUGCCUUGUGAUGCUGGAUAAUAGAGAAACGGAGAACUAGCAUCGCUUCUGGAUCUUUACACCUUCAGCACCCUGAAGUAAGUCUGAGAUGUGCAGAUGGUGGCUACACUAUCAGCCUAGAUCUGAGAGAGAGAGAGAAAAUACUUGUUAUCAGAUACCAAGAUUUUGGAGUUUCAAUGUGGGGAGUGAAAUU
ensembl:lncRNA